UAGCGGCGAGCGAAGCGGCAACAGCUCAAAUUUGAAAUCUGGCCCCCUCGGGGUCCGAGUUGUAAUUUGUAGAGGAUGCUUCGGGCAUGGUCCCAGUCUAAGUUCCUUGGAACAGGACGUCAUAGAGGGUGAGAAUCCCGUAUGUGACUGGUGGCCCGGCCCAUGUGAAGCUCCCUCGAUGAGUCGAGUUGUUUGGGAAUGCAGCUCUAAAUGGGUGGUAAAUUUCAUCUAAAGCUAAAUACCGGCCAGAGACCGAUAGCGCACAAGUAGAGUGAUCGAAAGAUGAAAAGCACUUUGGAAAGAGAGUUAAAAAGUACGUGAAAUUGUUGAAAGGGAAGCGCUUGCAAUCAGACUUGCCCGUGGUCGAUCAGCCGGUGCUCGCACCGGUGCACUCAUCCACGGUCAGGCCAGCAUCAGUUUUGGCGGCGGGACAAAGGCUCCAGGAAUGUAGCUCCUCUCGGGGAGUGUUAUAGCCUGGGGUGAAAUGCCGCCCGCCGGGACUGAGGAACGCGCUUCGGCUCGGAUGCUGGCGUAAUGGUUGUAAGCGGCCCGUCUUGAAACACGGACCAAGGAGUCUAACAUCUAUGCGAGUGUUUGGGUGUCAAACCCAUGCGCGGAAUGAAAGUGAACGGAGGUGGGAACCCUUAAGGGUGCACCAUCGACCGAUCCUGAUGUCUUCGGAUGGAUUUGAGUAAGAGCAUAGCUGUUGGGACCCGAAAGAUGGUGAACUAUGCCUGAAUAGGGUGAAGCCAGAGGAAACUCUGGUGGAGGCUCGCAGCGGUUCUGACGUGCAAAUCGAUCGUCAAAUUUGGGUAUAG
rnacentral:rRNA from 1 species